CUCCACUCUUCACUCUUGCACAACCUGUGCUUUGACCACAGCCUGUCCCCAUCCUCCUGACAAGUGACUCUUGGCCCCGGGGAAGCUGAACCAAAGCCAGCACUCCGAGACCCUCCCCCGUGCGUGUUGGGAACGGCUUCUUCCUCCCUGAGUGGAGCUUAAGAGGAAUGCUUAUUUUCCCACUGACUCUUCCGAAAGCCACCAAUUCCCACUCCGUGAAGGAAACUGAGGCCCAGCGAGGAAAAAGAACUUGUUUGGGGCCACACAGUGUGGCUCUGCAGGGACCCCAGGCAUCCUGAGUCUCAGGCCACCCACAGCACUUCCCUUUCUGGGCAGCCUGCUGCUCAGGUCCCAGAGCCCCAGAACUGACUCAUGCAGAGGUCCUCUCUCUUGCCCAGCGUUUAGAAGACAGCUGUCCUGGCUGAUGUGCUGCCGAGCAUUCUGAAGGUCCCCGAGAUGGCCUGCUGAUGAGUCAGGAGCUGUUAGUGGUCACUCUAACUGUGUAGAAAGCUGGAGAAAAUCUGAGGCACAGAGGCAGACUGGCUGAAGAGAAGACAGGAAUUGGUAGCAGGCCAUACCCAGCGUCUUUAGCAGACUUCAGUCUGCCUCAAGUCUGGAAGUGCUGUGAAGACCCUCCGUGGGAUGGGGGUGCAGUGCUUCAGGGAGGGGCAGGGGGAGGAGAGGGUUGGGGGAAGAAGCAAAAUCUGAUUGACAAGUGGCCAAUGAGACCUCUGCUGGAGGAAGAUUUCUCGGGGUCACACUUCUCAGAUUGGUCAGAUUUGUAGCAGGGCCUUGGGGACAGGAUGGGAGGGAAGGGUGAUCCUUCCCUUUAGCCUGACUUUUGUUUUGAGACAAGAGUCUAGUCAAAUAAUUCUGCCUGGCCUCAAAGUCGCUAUAUGGACCAGUUUCCCUCAAACUUGCCUGCCUUCCUCAGCUUCCAGACUUCUGGGAAUAAAAGGUGUG
rnacentral:lncRNA from 1 species